GGCUACCCUGCCGCCCCCAGGACAGGGCAGAACAUAUAUUACAAUUCAUUUUUUUGCGAAAAUAUAUCCGUUCCCACAUCUGUCUACAAUCAUUUUGUUGGUGUGUCACGAGCUCAUUGACAGGCGGUUAGUGACGUAGAACUUGGAAUGGCUAGCUGCUGAGCUUAUCAUUGUCAAGAACUUAUUCCUCCACUAGACUAAACAUUGGGCCUGACCUUGCUCAUGGUCUCGCAAUUUCACAAUGAUAAGUUUAUCUACAGUAAAAGUAAGUUUGAAGAAGUGUAUAUAUUAAAGGACAAUUCGGAUAUUAAAAUACUGGGUAGCUAGCUACACCGAAACUACGCAACCUAUGACAGCGGGAGAUUCAUUCUCUAGCGCUAAGGUAACGCGUUGGCUAGAUAGCUAGCAAGCUAACGUGUUAGCUAGUUUAGUUGAAUAGUCAUUCGAAGCGUUUCCGAGGCUAGUAUUGAGACCGUAGCUAGCUAACGUCAGCUAGGAAACUAGUCAACGUUAGUAGCUAGCACUGGCCACGGUCUUGUGUGCUAGUUUAACUACGGAAACGUUAAUACAGUAACGUUAUCGUUACCUAGCCAGCUGCUUGCUUGAUGGUUUAUGUUGUGUGCUAGCCAAUUACUGUACCAGCAUUAAAUAUAUAUGGCUAGUUAGCUUAGCUAUUAGUUGUCUAGCUUUGAGAACAUCAACAGACCACAUCGAGACUUCUGGGAAUCAGCUGACAGCUGCAGGCAGCCAAGGAGACCAGUGAUGGAUCAACUUAAAGUCAAGGACCGAAUAUUGGAAAACAUUAAUUUGUCUGUCAAGAAGUUGCAGAGUUACUUUGCUGCCUGUGAAGAUGAAACCCCAGCCAUUCGGAAUCACGACCGGGUCCUACAGCGGCUGUGUGAGCACCUCGACCAUGCACUGCUCUAUGGGCUGCAGGAUAUCUCCUCAGGUUAUUGGGUCCUGGUUCUACACUUCACCCGCAGGGAAGCGGUCCGGCAGAUAGACGAGCUCCAGCACAUAGCAACCAACCUUGGGCGAAGUCGUGCCUGGUUAUACCUAGCACUGAGUGAGAGCUCCUUAGAAAGCUACCUCCGUCUCUUCCAAGAGAACCAAGGAUUGCUGCAGAAGUAUUACUUCAAAAAUGCAUUGGUAUGCAGCCAUGAUCACCUCACGCUCUUUCUCACUUUGGUGUCGGGACUGGAGUUCAUUCGCUUUGAUCUGGAGUUGGAUGUCCCCUACUUGGACGUGGCUCCCUACAUGCCGGAGUACUACAAGCCCCAUAACCUUCUGGACUUUGAGGAGCGUCUCCCAAGCUCGGACAGCCUGUCCCUGCACUCUUUCACCUCCACCAACCUGGAAUGGGAUGACAGCGCCAUCGCCCCGUCCAGUGAAGAUUAUGAUUUCGGUGACAUCUUCCCCGUGUUGCAGCCAAGUGCAGACUGGGAAGAGGGUGACCUCACCGACCCAGUCAGCUGUCCUCGCUCAAAUGCCUCAGACCCUCAGACGGUCUUCAGUGAUUCUGUGAUUCUCCGGGCAGCCGCUGCCGUCAUCACAGUGAGGGGAACGCCACCGCCCCGCAGCCCCACCUUCAGACACAACCCCUUCAACGAGUACUCGGACACCAACACCUCGGCUGACAUUACACCCGUCCACACAGCCAGCUGCCACCACGACACCAGGGACGACAUGGAGUGCAUCAGCAACGAGCUAGAGGUUAUCAGGAUGGCCAGACGAAAGAAGCCAUCCAAGAAGCGCUGUAGCGUGAAAAGCUCCACAGUGAGCGGUGACCAGAACAAUGUGGCCUUCGAGCAGGCGGAGGCAGACGAUAGAGCCCCGGCUGGAUGUGAGGGACCAGAAGGAGACACCUGGAGCCCCUCUGUGGGGUUGCCGCAGGGCUCAGGGGGGGCCGAGACGGCGAGAAGGAGCAGCAGGAGGGAGACUGGGGAGGAGGAAGAGUCAGAGGGCCUCCUGCGGCUGCCGGAGAUGACAGACACCUCCAUGGACAGCGUUGGCCAGCCCCUACGUGACGUCAUGGACCGGCUCAACGGUGCUCUCGAUGGGGAGAAGACCUGGGGGCGACCAGCUGGAGAGGAAGAAGAAGAGGAGGGGGCAAAAACCCAGCAGAGUUCCCUCCCCAGACGGCCCUCCUCCACCAGCCUUGAAGCCAACCCGCAGCCCCCGGGGCAGCAGCCCUUUCGAGGGGAUUCGAUGGGUGAGCCGCCUGACCCGGAAGCCAGGCACCCCCCCCUGCUGCGCCCUGCUCUGGCCCCGAGUCCCAACUUCCUGCAGGCCCCCCCGGCUCCUGCAGACUUUUACUGCUUUACCCCCCACAGUCCAGAUGCUGCUGCCCUGCGUAGUGGCCACCAUGACACUGCAGGGCAUGGCCAGUCACAGGCUCUUCUUGGUGGCAAUGAAGUUGAGGCAGAGGCACCGCCAGGACAGGACCCCUCCCUAGAGGAGGAAGAGCAUGAUGAGGAGGAAAAUGAUGAGGCAGUAAUGGUUGAAAAUGGAUUGGCUGCUGGAGAAACUGAAGAGGAGACGGAAGAGGACAGGCUCAGUCCAACGGAAAACUCUCAUCCUGCAGAAUUCAAGGUGGACAACAAUCACCUGCUGCUGCUCAUGAUCCAUGUCUUCAGAGAGAAUGAGGAGCAGCUCUUCAAGAUGGUGAGGAUGAGCACGGGUCACAUGGAGGGGGACUUGCAGCCUCUCUACCUGCUGCUGACUGACUGUUACAUCUACCUGCUGAGGAAAGGUGCAGCGGAAAAGCCCUAUACAGUAGAGGAUGCCAUCUCUUACAAUGAGUUGGACUUUGUCUCUGUGGGCUUGGACCAGCAGACAUUCCUGCUGGUGUGCACCAACAGAAGACGGCAGUUCCUCCUGGACACGGCCGACUCAUCGCUUACUGUCUGUUUUUUGGCAGCCCUGACGUCGGCCAUGAUAAAGGGGUGCAGGGAGCCCCCCUACCCCUCUGUGCUGACCGACGCCACCAUGGAGAAACUGGCCCUCACCAAGUUUGUCUCCCAGGAGUCCCACUGUGAGGUAUCUCAAGUGAUCAUUCGCCUGUAUUCUUUGAUUCACUGGGAGGACCCCAUGGAUGUGACUCUGGCCACCCAGACAGCCCUGGUGGGCGCUGGGGACUCAUCCAGCACUAAAGAGGGCCCCCUACUCUACAGAGCAUGCACCACCUACCUGGGCAAGGAGCUGUGGAAGAGCUGUUACCUCGUACUGAGCAAAGGGGUUCUCUACCAGUAUACAGAGAAGACUGAUGCGACACCACUAAUGUCCAUCACUAUGGGGGAAUGGAUCUGUUCCUAGCGCUUUUAUGGAUCAAGUUGUUUGGACAAUUGCACUGGGUUCAAACGGGCGGGUACUGCGGAGGUUGCCGGCGCUCCAACAGCACAGAGCAGCCUCAUGCCUUCCAGGUGAUCCUGACAGAGCGGCCUCCUCUGGAGCUGAGCGCCGACAAUGAGGGAGACAUGGCCGACUGGAUGCUGGUGCUCUGCCAGUCUGUCUCCAAAGGGGUGAUCCCCCAGGGCGUGGCCCCCACACCGUGUAUUCCUUGUUGCCUGGUGGUGACAGACAGGAAGCUGCUGACAUGCCACCAGGACUGCCAGACUAGCUUCUUCCGCUCGCUGGGCGGAGCUGAUCUCUCUGAUGUCACUGCUGUCAGUCUGGAGGACGACAAAGAAUACUGUGUUGUUGAGUUUGCAGUGGACAGGGCUCAGUUCCUGCCUCCCUGGGUGUUGUACUUCAGCGGAUGUGAGGAGAGAGACCGCCUGCUGGAGGCGCUAGAGAGUGCCUGGAGAGACAUUUUCCAGGUGUGUCUGCCUCGUAGGAGGGUGUCAGAGCCGUCGGUGCAGAAGCAUUGUGGCGAGGCCUUGGCUCUGAUGAGGAGUGCCUGGCAGAGAAGUGACAGCCUUGCCCGGGGACGUGCCCAGAGAGAGCCCUGGUGCUGACAGACUGGUGGAUGGACAGAUAGGACAAAAGGCUUUCACUAACACUCCUAUCUAUUGCUACUCUACACAUCAGGGUCGUAGUCAAUUGCAUUCAAAUGUUAUCAAUUCUGCAAGUGAAUAGAAAAUGUACCAUUAUUUUCUAUGUGGAUUUGUUCAAUUGUCAAAUUUUAUUUCAACUGGGUGACUGAGUUUGAAUGGAAUUCACACCAAACCUGUUACAUAUAAUUAUGACAACAGCCAUAUAGAUAGAGGGAAACGCACCCUCCGUUGUGUCUACAUUAUAAAGAGUAUACGGUAAGUUAAGCAUAUGAGGAUGUGUCUUCAUGGGAUGUUGCGAGACAGACAGCAGUUUGAAUCUCCGUUCACACUCCUGGCCUUCACAAAUAUGUAUGUAGGGCUGUGACAGUCAUGGCAUUUUGGAUGACGGUUAUUGGUCAGGCAAAUGACUGGUCACUGUUUUAAUCGUUUGAGUAGCAAAAUGUUUUUUAUAUAAUUUUUUUUUAAACACUCACUUUCUCCUCUCCUUCGCUCCUUACUGCACGUGCUGCUGCUGCAGAGAGGGGGUCAUUGCCUAGGCAACUAAAGACUGUUGCUAAAACAUCUUGCUUGUUUCAGCAAGGAGCAACAAAGUUUCAUCAUGUUGUAAAGAGUCCAUGUUACCUCUGAAAGGGACUCAACUGCACAAUGCCUGUGGUCCUGUCUUCAGUCAGCUCAUUCAAUGUAAAAAAAUAUAUAUAUAUAUUUUUUUUACUGUUAUUUUAUUUUCAUGAUUGUCUUCAUCCAUAAUCGUCAGUUACACAAUUACACGGUAGUUGUGCCAGCCCUAUAUGUAUGUAUGUAUGUAUGUGUACGUUCUGCUUGACUUUCCUCUUCUCAUUGAGUCGGCCGUCAGGGGAGGAGGUGCACUCGUUAUAGAAUAAGACAUUCACUCACAUAUGAGGUUCUUUUGAACCUUAACCAACACACUACAUGUCUAGUGCGUAUGUAAAACGCGGUAUAGUAUUGAAUGAUAGUAUUGUAUUUUUAUCAAUCCUUACGCAAAUGUACAUUGCCCAUCUCUCCAUGAAUCCAGACCUACAUUGAUUUAGUCUUGUAUAGGUGUGUCUGUUGUCAAAUACUUCAAACAAAACCCUUCUCUCCCAUGCAAAGGUUGUGAUAGUUAUUCUUCAGUCACUUGAAGUGGCAUACACUAUUAGUUACAGCACUCAUCUCUUGCCUUGGUCGGCCAUCUAGGUUUACCAUUGGGUUUUCCACCUUUUAGUUAGGUCGGGUUGGAUGGUCAAAGUUAAUAUUAAAGUAUCAGAGCGGAGAAUGGUCUCAACCUAGCAUGGAUACACUUUUAACAAGAAGGAUGAGAGGAGAGAGUAACUUGCUGUUGAAUGCGAGAUUGCACAUUGCUUUUGGGUUUCAGCCGUGGUGAUUUUAUUUGAGGGUAUUGAUAAGUUCAUUGGGGUUCUGUGCGAAGUUCAUGUUCAGUGCUGCUUUUAAAUAUAAGCACAAAUGGGAGCAAAUAGUUGUUUAUUUGUAACACGACUUGUUAUGUGAGUCGAAUUGUAUGCAAUUUAUAAAGGGGAUAUAUUUGCUUUUAUUUUCCGUGGUUUGUUCUAGUCAUUUGGCACACACCUCUAUCCUUUUGAGGGGAGUGUCUGUCAUUGCAUUGUAUGUGUUGCAAGUGGCCUGGUCAAGAUGUGGGAUAUGUCAAUGUUCUACAACAGGUGGAGGCAUCAGUGCAUCCCUACUUUAUUGCACAACCUGUAAUUGUAUUGCUCUGGAGACUCUGUUGCGCAAUGACAGACCAUUGCUUUUAGUCCAGUAGUUAUAGUACAACCAGUCCAUAUGCAUUAGUAAAUAAAUAAAAAGCAGUUUGACUAGAGAUGACACUACUUUAUUAAUCUGAUUUGUCAUCGCAUUAAUCAGAUUUACCCCUUACAAUGUAUCCCCCACAUAAUUAAAUGCAAAUCCUCACAUUCAUUUGUUUGACAAUGUAGCUAAUUAUUUAUGUAGACAUGUUAUGUGAAAGUAAGAUUUUUGUGUUGCUGUUGACAAGAGGGGAAUUUAUCCAAUGCCAUGGCUAUCCUGAAAUUGCUCAAGGGCAGAGUGAUGCUAAGAUUUUAAAAUGUAUGCCAAACAAAAAAACAGUGAUUGCAAAGUUAAACAAACCAUACAACUCUGCACAAGGACUACUUUGAACUAUUUCCACAGAACAUUUGACAAAAACACAUCUACUUGAACAGUAAAUGUGUUUGUCAAAUUUUCAAUUAACAUUUUUAAAAGUUGUCGUUGUGGUUUGUUUAAUUUUGCAAUCAGUUUUUUGUUCACCAUAGAUUUUUUUAAAGUGAAAAAUCUUGAGUCUCAGGAUCACUCUGUUACUGUGGAAUUUACUUCAAUCAUCAGGAGAAGGUUUCUGGAGGGUUUCAGUUUAAUUGCCUGUUGCUCCUAAUAAUCGUGUCCUUUUUCAUUACCUUCAUUUGAUUGGCGAUAAUGGCCUCAGGCCCUGUUUUGACCAAAUAAAGUACUACUCUUGAAUGUGGCCUUAUACUGCUGCUGGCUUCUAAUCGAACAUGAUUAAAAAUCAGUGAAAUUAAUUUGCUGGGUUGUGAAUACACAAUGUGUGUGUUCCCUGUCCUCCAAUUGCAUUAUAGUAAUAGGCGUAAUUACUAAACAUUCUCUGCUUUGAGCAUUUUAAGUGCCACGUGGUCUUGCCUCUAUUCUACUGUUUCUGUAGGCGUGGGAAGCCGACAUCCCAGAAUUUAGCUUCUCAGGUUAGAAAUGUUACAAAUAAUUUAAAUGUAGUACCCUAGAUCCCAUGCAGAAAAGACCCAACACCUCAAGCCAGAGAAACCAUGUCCUACAUUUUAGUUUCAACUGACUUCCGCUAUUUUAUAUCCCCUUUCUUUUGUUGGUACUUAUCCCUUAGUUUUCUAAGCAGUGGAGUUAGAGAGCUCACUGGAAGUAAGAAUGUUAAAUUAUGUUCUAGAGAAAUGUACAAUUGCGAUACUUAAGUAUUUGAAAGGUUUGUCAAUAUUUGAUUGAGGAAAGGAAAUAUGAAGCAUCUUGGCUUCAUAUCCAGAGUUAAGUGAAGUUUGUCUUUAUGAACAGUAAUUUAAAUGUUGGACAUUGCUGGCCAAUGGUGGAUUACUUCUUUUGAUUGACUACUUGUGAAAAUAAAAUAGUUUUUACGUUUGUUUUUAUAUCUAUAUAUAUAUUCUUUGUAUUGUGUUUAGCUGUCUUUUUUUAUUUGAAAUGUAUGAAACUAAUGGGAUUGCUCUAUUGUAUGAUAACCUGUGAUCAUCACACUAAAACCUGCAUGUAUUUAGUGUUUUUAUAUUGCUAAUAACAAAUGUACAAAAAACCUUGUGAAUAGAACAUGAAUAAAGAAAUUCAAACCA